AUGAAGAACGCAGCGAAAUGCGAUAAGUAGUGUGAAUUGCAGAAUUCAGUGAAUCAUCGAAUCUUUGAACGCACAUUGCGCCCCUUGGUAUUCCAUGGGGCAUGCCUGUUCGAGCGUCAUUUGUACCUUCAAGCUCUGCUUGGUGUUGGGUGUUUGUCUCGCCUCUGCGUGUAGACUCGCCUUAAAACAAUUGGCAGCCGGCGUAUUGAUUUCGGAGCGCAGUACAUCUCGCGCUUUGCACUCAUAACGACGACGUCCAAAAGUACAUUUUUACACUCUUGACCUCGGAUCAGGUAGGGAUACCCGCUGAACUUAAGCAUAUCAAUAAGCGGAGGA
rnacentral:misc_RNA from 1 species